AGUCAUCAGGUGCUUGGAAAUCUUCUUGAAAGCGAUGCCAUUUGUUGCCUCCUACAAACCGUUCUCCACGCACUCUCACUGUGUUCUUGCCUUCUGUACUCACUCUGAUGUUCUCCUUCAUGAAACCUGCAGCAGAGGAGUUCAGAUAUAUAUAUCACACACAUUCACAAUUGGGUAAGAGAGAGAGAGUUGCCGUCUCGCCGACUCGCCGUCGAUCGGAAAAUGGAGAAUUGCGACGUGUUAGUAUCGUCAACUGCACUAUUGGCUUAGCAUGAAUUCCUUCCGCGCAUGCGUGAUCCGAAGCCCUGCGAUUUCAUCAAAUCCGUAUCAGUCUUCAUCUUAGUUAAAUCCAAGUACAACAACUACAUCUCAGUCCCAAACAAGUACCUCAAUGAUUUUAUGGAGAGAGUUCUCUAUGCAAAGUGAAAUUAAUGGAUAUUGAUUAUAGAGAAUGAAUUAUCUAUAUUGGGAUUCUGGAAUAGCUAUGGAAUGGUUGUCUCCAGAAUUUUGAGACGAUGGAUGCAUUAUUAAGAAAACGUGACCGGUUUAAUCUUCUUCUGUCAAAAAAAAUUUCAAAUUUCUAACCUCAGUUAGAGGGGUGUACUCAAUCAUCAUUGUAUAUUACUUCAAACAGGUGUUCACAUAUCUAUAUUUAAACACUUUUUAAAAAAUAUAGCACUACUAUAUAUGAUUUCAGGAGGGGAGCAUGUAUUCAUUGAAUACGCCUACGAAACUUGUAAUCAGCUGGUCAUCUUAGCAUAAUUUCUUCCCAUACUAAUAACACAGAUGGAUGAAUUCAUGGGCUUUGGGUUUCUACUACUAACUGAUCUAAAGUCCUAUAACAUACUACUGCACAUUGAAUAUUUGCAUAUAUUUGAUCAGUUGAAAUUAACAUAACCAGCUAUGCUAGCCAUUUUAACUCAACUAGGAACCCGAAGAGGUUUAGGUAGGUAUAAGUAUGUCCAUUCGAGAAAGAAUGUUAAUACUAAUUGGAAUCUCCAGGGUUUUGGUUCAAUAGUAAGGACACAACUUGAGAUGUGCAGCUAGGGUGCACAUCACAAGUUCGAACUCUGCCGCCAACAGGAACCCUGAAAUUUAACAUGAUAGAGAAAUAGGCCUAUACUCAACCGAGUUUCAAAGCUAUGAUAUCUACAUGCUGAUUUUUUUAGUAUACUGAAGAUUCAGGAUGCUCCAUGAUAUUAAUAAAUAUCAAAUGAUAAAAGCAUAAGUAACUGAAAGAAAUUCUAUCCUUCAGAAUCAGAUCUACAGAUAUCUCAACAUUGAAGGACAAAAAACUUCGGAUUCUUGAAUCAUCUAUAUUUUCCCAUGUCUUAAUUGAGUUGCUAUUGGUACUGUGCCGAGAAUUACCAAGUCUGAUUGUCUCAUUUUUCCUUUUUCUCAACAUGCUUAUAUAUGUCUUACCU